rnacentral:rRNA from 1 species
UGGGGAAUAUUGCACAAUGGGCGCAAGCCUGAUGCAGCCAUGCCGCGUGUGUGAAGAAGGCCUUCGGGUUGUAAAGCACUUUCAGCGAGGAGGAAGGUGGUGAGCUUAAUACGCUCAUCAAUUGACGUUACUCGCAGAAGAAGCACCGGCUAACUCCGUGCCAGCAGCCGCGGUAAUACGGAGGGUGCAAGCGUUAAUCGGAAUUACUGGGCGUAAAGCGCACGCAGGCGGUUUGUUAAGUCAGAUGUGAAAUCCCCGGGCUCAACCUGGGAACUGCAUUUGAAACUGGCAAGCUAGAGUCUCGUAGAGGGGGGUAGAAUUCCAGGUGUAGCGGUGAAAUGCGUAGAGAUCUGGAGGAAUACCGGUGGCGAAGGCGGCCCCCCUGGACGAAGACUGACGCUCAGGUGCGAAAGCGUGGGGCAGCAAACAGGAUUAGAUACCCUGGUAGUCCACGCUGUAAAACGAUGUCGAUUUUGGAGGUUGUGCCCUUGAGGCGUGGCUUCCGGAGCUAACGCGUUAAAUCGACCGCCUGGGGAGUACGGCCGCAAGGUUAAAACUCAAAUGAAUUGAC